UUGGGUCUAGCUUAAUCGGUAAAGCAGUGGAUUUUGGGUCCAAAGAGUAGAGGUUCGAGCCCUCUGUCCCAAG
rnacentral:tRNA from 1 species